UCAACUCAAUGUUGUGAUUAUUCAUUUAAAAUGAUUUUAAACUUCACUUUCCAUAAAUGGCUGUUCUUACUUUUUGACUAAAUAUUAUGAGUAUUUUUACACAUUAGUAAGUCUGCCAACUCCUGGAUGGUCAGUUUUGUCAUUUAUUGGUCUUUUUUCCCUUUCAGUGAGAUUUAAAGCCAUAGAAUACAUUCAUGCCACUCAAAUUCACCCACUCAGAAUGAUGGAAAGGAUUGCAGAACUGAGUUUCACUCUCACCUGACUGAUGCAGAUUAAGUAACCUAAUUGCUCAUGAUGGUUUCUGAGAAAAAAUCAGCUUGGUGUAAUUUGACAGUAUUUGACUUUGGUUCUAUCAUGCAACAGUCAUACCAUGAAGUGUCUCACAGAUUCUCUCUCAAUUCCUGCAAUAUCCAAGAUUACAGUGUAGCGCCAAGAGGAUUAAUUUUCUUGCAAUAAGAAGUGUCUGCACUUCCAAAUACCCCAGUACAGCAUGAACAGUUCCUUCAUUUUUUGAGUGAUUAUAGAGUGAAAAUGUUUCCGUAUAAAAUGUUGUCUUUUUAUGUGUAAAACUUCACAUGUAAUGACUGGUUACAAAUACAUGCAUGGACAUUUUGAUUCCAAAUCUAUGCACAUUUUGAAUCCAAUAAUUAACCAGAAAGAAUUUUAAAUUUGGUUUGAAAAAGAAAUAUUUUCAUUUUGUUAGUUUCUAAACAGUUAGUGGUAUUAUUCCUGUUUAUAGUUUCCAUGUCAAUUUAAAAAAGUCAGUUCUUUUAAAGAUGCACUCUUACUCCCACAUUAGAUUUACCACAAUUAAUACUGUUGUUUUAUUAUUCCAAAAAAGAUGAAUAAAUGUCGAAAACAAUGGUUCUAAUGAA